AUGUACACCCAUGGCUGAUUCGUGUCAAUGUAUGGCAAAAACCACUACACUAUUGUAAAGUAAUUAGCCUCCAAUUAAAAUAAGUAAAUUUUUUAAAAAAAGAGCUAAGGACUUUGAGGGGCCAUGCUGGGAGUAAGUACACAGAAUGAAUCCAAGUGAGUCAGUGAGAGGUUGUCUAAAGGAGGAGGCUCUGUCCUCAGUCAGCAAGCUCCAAAACACACUUUCCUUCCUUUUCCACCACGGUUGCCUAAAACGGAUGGUUACUGUGUAGAUUAACAUAAAAGCAUACGUCAGCGAAGUAUUCAGAGUUAGAUGUUAGCUCUUUUCCUGGCCAUUUUCUUAGCUAUUUUAAGUGGACAUUUAUACAACAAACAGGUCCGGAUUUGGCUCAUGUUGAAGAAAUUAAAUUUACUACCCGCUCUUCCCCCGGUGCUCUCAGGCCUAGGACAACUUCCUCAUCACGAGAUAGGGGACCCCAGGCUUCUUUCCAAGCCCUACCGCCUCCCCGCCUCCCUAGCCUCCUAGGUGCACCCACCUGUCCCUGUUCCUGCCCUGAUGACGUCACAAGUGUGGACGGGGUGGGGGUUGGACAACCAGGUGAAGGAGGGGAGCACUCACGCCCCUGCCUGGCUCCUGAGCUAGGACCCCCUUAUCCCGCCCUCAGACUGGGCCGACAUCACCCGUGCUCCUGGUCCUCAGGUCUCUGCACUCAAACUGAAACCAGGUGGCCAGCUUCCCUGAGUCUCAGCUGCAGACAUCAGGAGGUGAGGAUUCUCAGUCUUCACGAGGAGCGCUAGACAGUUUCAGUAAUAAAUCUCUCCCUAUUAUAGUGUACGUCUAUCCCAUCGCCUCUGGUUCUCUGGAGAACUCUUGACUCAUGCACUGCUUUAGUCUACUGUCCUUUUUCUUUGAUAUUCAGCCCCGUUUUCACUCUUUUUCUUUCUCAAAUCGGGGUACAACAUGCCAGGGACUGGACGAGACAGGCUGGUCCAAGGUGAUGCCCAGUGAGUCACGUGUUUGGGAAUACCUAGGGGUGUUGCUCCUGAGACUGGAUUAUCUUAUGUGGCAGAGGUGACAAGAGCCUCUGAUGUCAUUUAAAAAUAACAGUAGCAAUUAAUUGAUUUAAUCAAAAGGGGGUUGUCCCAGGUGGGCCUAACCUAAUCAGUGGAGCCCUUUAAAACAGUGUUUCAAGGUCAGAGACCCGAAACAGCUGAGUCUCUUGUGGUUUUGAAGAAGCAAGCUGCAGGUGGAGGGGCUGAUGGUGGCCUCCUGGAGCUGAAGGCCGCACCGUUGGGAACUGAACUUGGCCAGUGACUAGUGACCGGGCUUUCUGUCAAUAAGCACUUGGUUCCAGUUCUGAAAGGGGAUCUUCCAGAACCAGGGAUUGAACCCACAUCUUCUGCAUCGGCAGACGGAUUCCAUACCGCUGAGUCACCAGGGAACCUCCCUGCCCAAAGACCAACAUCCUGAUUUUUUUACUCCAGGUGUGUCGUCCGGUGCCUGAUGACAGCUGACUUCUGGCUGAAGCCUUUCCCGCACUCCUGGCACACGUAGG